rnacentral:rRNA from 1 species
AACGAACGCUGGCGGCAGGCUUAACACAUGCAAGUCGAACGGGCGUAGCAAUACGUCAGUGGCAGACGGGUGAGUAACACGUGGGAACCUUCCUAGGGGUACGGAACAACUCAGGGAAACUUGAGCUAAUACCGUAUACGUCCGAGAGGAGAAAGAUUUAUCGCCCUUAGACGGGCCCGCGUCGGAUUAGGUAGUUGGUGGGGUAACGGCCUACCAAGCCUACGAUCCGUAGCUGAUCUGAGAGGAUGAUCAGCCACACUGGGACUGAGACACGGCCCAGACUCCUACGGGAGGCAGCAGUGGGGAAUCUUGGACAAUGGGCGCAAGCCUGAUCCAGCCAUGCCGCGUGGGUGAAGAAGGCCUUAGGGUUGUAAACCCCUUUCAGCGGGGAAGAUAAUGACGGUACCCGCAGAAGAAGUCCCGGCUAACUCCGUGCCAGCCGCCGCCGUAAUAC